CGGCCGCGUCGACGAUAACUUCGGGAAACCGGAGCUAAUACCGGAUAAUAUAAGGAACCUCCUGGUUCUUUAUUGAAAGAUGGUUUCGGCUAUCACUUACAGAUGGGCCCGCGGCGCACUUAGCUAGUUGGUGAGGUAACGGCUCACCAAGGCGACGAUAGCGUAGCCGACCUGAGAGGGUGAUCGGCCACACUAGGGACUGAGACACGGUCCCAGACGUCCUACGGGGAGCAGCAAGUAGGGAAUCUUCCACGAAUGGACGAAAGUCUGAUGGAGCAACGCCGCGUGAAGCGAUGAAGGCCGUUGGGUCGUAAAGCUCUGUUGUUAGGGAAGAACAAGUGCGGAGAGUAACUGCUCGCACCUUGACGGUACCUAACCAGAAGCCACGGCUAACUACGUGCCAGCAGCCGCGGUAAUACGUAGGUGGCAAAGGCGUUAGUACCGGAACUUAGUUAGGGCGUAAAAGCGCGCGCAAGGUGGUCCUUUAAGUCUGAUGGUGAAAGCCCACGGUCUCGAACCGUGGAGGGUCAUUGGGAAACUGGGGGACUUGAGUGACAGGAAAGAGGGAAAGUUAGGG
rnacentral:rRNA from 1 species